UAUCACACUAGGAGAUCACAUUCAGCCGAUUAUCCAACACAACCCCCAAACCUUUUUGGAGUCACUGCUUCCCAGGAUAGAGUCCCCCAUCCUUGAGUAUAAUGCUUUUGAAAAGUCAUCAGAUGGCAAUCCUGGAAAUUGAACCCUUCAACCCACCCAACAGGUGAUUGCCAGAGCUGCUGGGAAACAUGCAGAGAGGAUGGAAGAGUGAUAAAUCAUUGGUUUAAUAGACAACAUCAGAGAAACUUGCAGAAGCAGUUGCAAAGAAGUGAAGUCAGUAGAGCUACCCAGAG